UUGUUGUUGUUUUUUUUUUCUCUUCUCUCCAGAUAGUCAAUCUGCUUUAUCUCCACUUGCUAAAACUUUUGUAGUCAGUAAAAGUCCAGCAUCAGAGUUUCAAGAGUUAAAUAAUGUGAUAGGUUCAUCAGUGAAUAGGAUUACUUGUAAGAGGAAGUUGGACUGUACAUUAGUAUGUACCAGUCCUGGUAUUAAUAGUCCUGCUAAGAGGAGUAACAU